GAGAAAGGAAACGUAGAAGGAAAAGUCAGGUAAUAUGCUCAUAUCGCGCACUGGUAAGCACAACAAAGACCAUCUGGUCUUACCAAUCGCCAGGUGUGAUUGGGGAGUACGAUCCCGUGAAUCACCAGCGCACUGUGUCCGCGAGCUUCGUAGGACCAUGUACCUAAACCCAUUUAACGCUGUAACGCUAUUGGAGGUUACUAGUGUGAUCGAUUGUGCGACACCCUAUCCCGAUUAACCCAAUCAUCUAUUAACAACUGUAACCCCAGAGUAUCUAACUUCAUCUACCAUCUGCAACUUCCUCCCCUUCGGGCCCAUCCCGUAUCCAUGAUAUCGCAUACCCUUCCCACCCUCACUCUCUGGGCUUCCUUUCCACUAUGACAACUAAAGAAGGAGGCCAAGUCCGGGUUACCUAUCCGCUACUCUAUAGAUUAGUGCACCCCCAUUGAUCUCCU